rnacentral:rRNA from 1 species
AGCACGAAGGUUGGCUAAUCCUGGUCGGACAUCAGGAGGUUAGUGCAAUGGCAUAAGCCAGCUUGACUGCGAGCGUGACGGCGCGAGCAGGUGCGAAAGCAGGUCAUAGUGAUCCGGUGGUUCUGAAUGGAAGGGCCAUCGCUCAACGGAUAAAAGGUACUCCGGGGAUAACAGGCUGAUACCGCCCAAGAGUUCAUAUCGACGGCGGUGUUUGGCACCUCGAUGUCGGCUCAUCACAUCCUGGGGCUGAAGUAGGUCCCAAGGGUAUGGCUGUUCGCCAUUUAAAGUGGUACGCGAGCUGGGUUUAGAACGUCGUGAGACAGUUCGGUCCCUAUCUGCCGUGGGCGCUGGAGAACUGAGGGGGGCUGCUCCUAGUACGAGAGGACCGGAGUGGACGCAUCACUGGUGUUCGGGUUGUCAUGCCAAUGGCACUGCCCGGUAGCUAAAUGCGGAAGAGAUAAGUGCUGAAAGCAUCUAAGCACGAAACUUGCCCCGAGAUGAGUUCUCCCUGAGACUUAGAGUCUCCUGAAGGAACGUUGAAGACGACGACGUUGAUAGGCCGGGUGUGUAAGCGCAGCGAUGCGUUGAGCUAACCGGUACUAAUGAACCGUGAGGCUUAACCUUAC